rnacentral:rRNA from 1 species
CGUAAUAACAGAAACUAACCAGGAUUCCCUUAGUAACGGCGAGUGAACUGGGAUACCAAUAUAUUUAUGCGUCUCUGGCGCAUAUUUUUAGCCCGUCGAUACUAUCCUAGCGUAUUACCGGUUUCGGCCGGUAGCCCAAUACGCGGGAAUUGUAGCAUCGUAAUAAAAUAUACACCAUGCCUGCGUCGCAAACGUAUAUACACGUAUACUCACACACACAUACUCGUACGCGUACACACCCCUUGCAAACACACAGCGCUCCCGCGUUGGAAAGCAAGUCUAUAUCCUCUUUGGAUAUGCCAUAGAGUGUGACAGCCACGUUUGAAACACCCUUACGUACCGUACACACACAUACGUAAAAAUACGCGCUGCUUCGCAUACGCAUACCGUAUAUAACCUGAGUCGAGUUAUUU